rnacentral:lncRNA from 1 species
CAAAACACCUGAUGACAUCAUGAUCUGCUCUGGGAAACAUCUGGUCUUGAGAGUUUAUGUGACAGUUCUUCACUUUUCUGAAUCCUCCUGAUAAUAUUUAUGGGAAUCUUUGAGCCACUGUUUUGAACACGUGCAGAGGGAAUGGUUGUAAAUGAACAUCCAAGUUCUGCAGUGCAAACUGAAAAGCCAACUCAUCAAAUUCACAAUGCAAGAAAAUAUCCAGCCAAUGUUACUGUCACUUCAAAUGGAC